rnacentral:lncRNA from 1 species
UAGUCCAAUUUUAUUUACACUCUUUAUAUUUUAAAAAGUAUCAAACUGACUAAUAUGUUCAAAUGUAGUUCAGUUGUUUAUUUUUCAAUAAACGGUGUUAGCUUUCUCUCUCAAUGGUGCCCCUUGCUCAUGGGUGGACUUGGAGAAGGAAGAUGAUAAAAAUGAUAAGUAGAUGAAAAGAAAGGGGAGGAGGGAAGAAGAGCCACUGGCAAUAAAUAUGUUGGAGGAGGAGGAGGGCAAGA